CUGGCGGCGUGCCUAAUACAUGCAAGUCGAACGGCUUUUCUAUGGAAGCUUGCGUCCACUGAGAAGAUAGUGGCGAACGGGUGAGUAACACGUGGGGUAACCUGCCCAUAAGAGGGGGGAUAACAUCCGGAAACGGGUGCUAAUACCGCAUAGUUUUCUUGAUCGCAUGAUUGAGAAAGGAAAGACGGCCUUUGUGCUGUCGCUUAUGGAUGGACCCGCGGCGUAUUAGUUAGUUGGUGAGGUAACGGCUCACCAAGACGAUGAUACGUAGCCGACCUGAGAGGGUGAUCGGCCACAUUGGGACUGAGACACGGCCCAAACUCCUACGGGAGGCAGCAGUAGGGAAUCUUCCGCAAUGGACGAAAGUCUGACGGAGCAACGCCGCGUGAGUGAAGAAAAGGUUUUCGGAUCGUAAAACUCUGUUGUCAGAGAAGAACAAGUUGGAGAGUAACUGCUCCAGCCUUGACGGUAUCUGACCAGAAAGCCACGGCUAACUACGUGCCAGCAGCGGC
rnacentral:rRNA from 1 species